CGGAGGCCGACCGGACCCCCCCCUCGGAGGCCGACUGGACCCCCGGAGGCGUGGACCAGAGGCUGAGGCUGGAAGGACCAGGAUGGACCAGGAACCGAAGCUGGAGACCAGAGAAAUGCCACACGGGAUCGGACCAGAGGGAACCUCAGAUGCAGAAGGUGUGGGGUGUGGCAGCCACACCUGGGAUUCAUGGCUGACGGAGGAGUCGUGUUGGAGGAGGUCCUGCCUGGCGGUCCAUCGUGGGGCAGAUGGAGCCUGACUCGAACGCCAGGACUCUGUGGCGAGGAGGAGCUGGGACUCCUGAGGACAGCCAGGACUCCACCAACAAGGAUUCCUCGACAUGAGCUGGACCAGAGGACAGCUGGUGGGGAGCCGUAGAUCUGGAGGAAGACCAUGACUCUACCAGCAAGUAUUCCAUACCAGGACUCCGUGGCUGAGGACGAGCUGUGAGUCUGGAGGAAGACCAGGACUCUGUCUACAGGUCUGUAACCAGACCGGGAAUCUGGACAACUGAUGGAGAAGCCAUACCUCUGACCAGGACUCCGUGGCAGAAGAGAGCUGAUGGAGGAGCUCUGACUCCGGAGAUCGACCAUGACUCUACCAGCAAGUAGUCCUUGACGCUGGUGAAAUCCGGUUUGGUCCAGGACCCACACCUGAUCUGUACCCAACCUGAUCCUGUUUGUUCCUGUCCCCUCAUCCUCAAGAAGAACUGCUGAGCUUCAGCAGUCUGAGGCUGAUGGAUCAAUUAACUCCAGUCUGAAUAACCUUGACCCCACAUGUACCCGUGUACUUCCACACUCCUUUCCCUCAUGUCUGUCACUAACUAACCUCACUACUUCACUGUCCUCUCUACUCCCUUCCGUUCCUCUUGCUUCUCCAUGGUUCGAACCAGCACUCUGAAGGAGUGUCUUCUUGCCCUCAGAGGGUUCAGUGUUAGGGUUGAGAGUCAGGGAUAGAGUCAGGGACAGAGCUGGUUAGGGAGGAAGGGUUUUUGCACAUGCCUCUUCACUUGCUUGCUGAAUUGUUUUGACAUUUUGAAAUGAUUCAUUGGGAAAAUAUUUGACUGUGCUAUUACUGACAAAUAAAUAUUGAAGUUGUACCAAA